GCACUACAAGAAAGUGGAGAAUCUGCGGCGCUUUUUUUUUUUUUAGCGGCGGCCAUCACCAACUGCUGCAUCCGGUCGACUUAAAAAGGAAAGCCAUAUCUCUCUCUGUCUCUCUUUACCUCUCACUAUCUCUCUCCCUCUCCCUCUCCAUCUCCGUCGUCUCGUCUCUCCCUCUCCCGUCCUCGAUCUCUCUCCCUCAUACUCUCUCGAUCUCUCUCCCUUCCUCUCCCUCCCCCUCUCGAUCUCUCUUUCUCUCGUUUGCUUCGACGUGCUGUUCCUUCUUCGAUCUCUCUCCAACAAUCGAAGAAAAUAGAAGAAAGAAAGGAAAAUCGAAGGUGUUUGAUGGAAUGCCAGUGAAGAUUUUAAUCUUGUGGAAUGGCAGGUGGGAGGGCGAAAAUCAGCCUGCAAAUGAGAAAGGUAAGCUGUGUUGCACGGAAAGCCCCAAGUUUUAGUGGUCCACUAAUGCUUUCAAACCGAGCUUCUGCAAACAGUUUAUCCUUUUGACUGAACUUUCUUCAUAACAUGUCAUUUGCCACUAACAUGUGGGUGGAAGCACUGUUGGUUGUGGAUAUGCUUUUACUCAGUUUUCCAUUAUUCAUUCAGGUGUGAAAAACUUGAACUAUCAGGAAAGAAAAAUUCAGAUCAUACAAGCCUUCUGAAGACAAUGACCUUUGAUGUGCAUUAGCUCUGCCAUCACCAUACAUAUCAUGUUAAGCUGUCAAUUGUGCCCUUCCUUUUUGAUCUUUCUAUUCUAUGUUAUUCAAUUCCAUGGGCACUUAUAUGGCUCUCAUGACAGUUAUAUUCUUUUGGGAAGCUUAUGAGACUAAUUCUUUUACGGUAACCUCUCACUCUCCUUAUUGCAGUAACCAGCAUCUUACACUAGCACGUGUUUGAUGCUUCAUUACAGUUUCUUUUUUCAUAAUAAAAGUCUCCGUUAUAGUGUUUGGUUGCAUCAAAUGGCCAAAGGUGCGUUUGGUUGCAUCAGUGAUUGACUUGAUCCUUGCAAUCAUGGUAGUAAGUGUUUGUUGUGAUCAGCUAACAUCUGAUCAUGUAUAUCCUCCACGGGAGUGUUGAUUUUGCAAGAAUCUGUAAGGGCAGGUCUAGCAACCAGCAGAAUGGAAGAAGUUUCUGCAUGAGUUUUAUUAUGCUAUAUUUCCAUGACGGUUUCUUGUUGGAUGCGUAAAUUAACGUUCUUUUUUAUAAGUAGAAUGUCUAUGAACAGAUUCACUUUGCUGUAUUUUUUUUAUAAGAAGGAAGACCGGUCUACAUCGAGAGACUUGGUAAAGCUGAACCAAACAAGCUUAUGCACAUUACUAGAGUACAUAACUACUUAAGGUAUCAUGUACAUGAGUAUGAGAGGGUCUUCCUCUAUGAAAGUUCAUUACUAUGAGGACGUAUCUAAUAAGCUGAAGGUUCAUUACUUCACCUUACCAUUUUCAUAUUCAUUUCAGUUCUGAUAUGGCAUAAUUUUUGUUCUUGAUAUGGCAAUAUGCCUUUGACUUACUAUGCUCUUAUUCAUUAUGGAUUUGAAGAUUAGGAAUGUUAAGGUCUCAAUUUUAAUCUUUGCCGGGUGCUUUUAAUGCUCGAUUGGUUCCUUUGGAAAAUGCAUCUCAACAAUUUCAUAUGUCAAUAUUCUUCACUCAAAGCAGUUUACAGGCACUUGUUUUACCAGUUCUGUACAUCAAUUAUGGAUAAGCUGAAACAAAUCUGAUAAAUAAUAUCGGUUCUGAUAAAUCUGAAACAAAUCUGGGCAAAUCUGACAUGCCAUAUACACCAUUGAAA